GGAGAUUUAGCUUAGCGACAUAAGUGCCUGCCUUGCAAGCAGGAAGUCGUGAGUUCAAUCCCCG
rnacentral:tRNA from 1 species